rnacentral:rRNA from 1 species
GAUUGCAGGCUGCAACUCGCCUGCAUGAAGCUGGAGUUGCUAGUAAUCGCGGAUCAGCAAGCCGCGGUGAAUACGUUCCCGGGCCUUGUACACACCGCCCGUCACACCAUGAGAGUCUGUAACACCCAAAGCCGGUGGGAUAACCUUUAUAGGAGUCAGCCGUCUAAGGUAGGACAGAUGAUUAGGGUGAAGUCGUAACAAGGUAAC